UCUAGUGGCGGACGGGUGAGUAACGCGUGGGUAACCUGCCUUAUCCAGGGGAUAACAGUUAGAAAUGACUGCUAAUACCGCAUAAGCGCACAGUUUCGCAUGAAACAGUGUGAAAAGAUUUAUCGGGAUAAGAUGGACCCGCGUCUGAUUAGCUAGUUGGUGAGGUAACGGCCCACCAAGGCGACGAUCAGUAGCCGGCCUGAGAGGGUGAACGGCCACAUUGGGACUGAGACACGGCCCAAACUCCUACGGGAGGCAGCAGUGGGGAAUAUUGCACAAUGGGGGAAACCCUGAUGCAAGCGACGCCGCGUGAGUGAAGAAGUAUUUCGGUAUGGUAAAGCUCUAUCAGCAGGGAAGAAAAUGACGGUACCUGACUAAGAAGCCCCGGCUAACUACGUGCCAGCAGCGGC
rnacentral:rRNA from 1 species